GCCCAAUGCAUAAAGUCUUUGUUGUAGCCACAAACAAAAAAGUAAACUUUUAUUAACAGAGAUUAACUUGGUCCUCUGACAUCUUACAGCAAGCCCUGACCAGGUAGAUGUAAUCAAAAUCUAAUUUUAAACACGGAGAGCAAAAUUCAUAGGCUGACCAUCAUCACAUCUUCUUUGCACAGGUUAAAAUUAUGUUCUGCCAAGGGAACAGUGAGAAAAGCUGCCAUUGUGAUGAUUUAUUCCUACUUAAGGGGAAGCAGAGAUAAAGAGUGAUAGACACUGAUAAUGAUGGAAGUCCACGAUAAUACACCGAAGUGAUAAACUUCUUUGUGGCCCUCAUUGUGCCCAGUUGUCUUCAGCUGGUUAUGAGCUCUAGCCUCAAGCUAUUUACACCAUGAUCAGGCUAGUAAUUAGCAAAAUGUUUAAUAUAAUAUAGAAGCAAUUAGGAGGUGAUAACAUGCAAUUAAGAUGUGUUUUCAGAUUAAAGAUUUUAUAGUGCUCUCUUUCUUGAAAAGAUAAAGUGCCUAUCUCAAAAUGUCAAACUGCAGUGAUUUAAUCUGAGUUAUUUUCAAUUAAUAUGCAUGUAUUCUUGCGAUGUGUUCACCGUUGUUAUUGACAUUGAUAAAUUAAGCUCAUCCCAGCAGAAUUUAUCCUUGAGUCGCUCUAUAUUUCCUGAAUGUCAGCUCUUUAUUCGUAUUUUUUUAUGCCUACAAGCUGUGCACGAUCUAACUCUAAGUCCCUUGAUUCAUCCCUGGGAUUACAGUAAUGUGUCAGUCUGAGUGGAACAAUAAUCUGAAAGGGCAUUGUUAUAAAUAGUGUGUUAGAAUAUAAUUGUUUGUCAUGUCGUUUCUCCCCUUUAAAUCCCUCUGAGUCCUGUUUAAGUAAUUUAGACAGCUAGAAUGACAAGAGUCUUGAGACUUCACUUAUAGAGUUGUCCAACCAGUCUUCAGCCUACCCAGUCUUUUGAGACUGUCUCAUCUGCAAAGUAGGAAGUGCAAAGAACAGAUGAGUUCCGACUACACUGCAGAUUUGUUAUGAGAUUUUGCUCAGGCCAUUUAUAGAACAAUGUAAAUGCUACUGAUACUAAUUUUUCCCUGGCUAGUCAAUGAAAAUUCUUAGACAAUAGAAAUUAGGGUAUUUCCUAUCAUCAUUUAAGAAGUUAAAAUGCUAAGGAUGAUUUUUGAUUAAGUUUCUAAUUAUAAAAAUAAAAUAAAAAAAAACAUGACACAGGAAAAA